GUGCGCUUAGCUCUUACAUGCUCUCAGUUUAUUUCUGACUCUCGUGCAAAGCGCAACGUCGAAACGGACGGCUCGUACGGUCGCUCGGUCGCUCAUGUUGUGUGUGUGUUCGGUGUCGGUUUUCGGUGUCGGUGUUUUUUGUGUGUGUUUUUCGGUGCUUGACAAAUGCAAUACAAAUGCAAAUGCAGUAGAAUUCAAAGUGCAACAACAACAAAAACAACAGCGAGCCAAACGAGUUUCAAUAAGCCAAUAAACCAAUAAGCAA